rnacentral:rRNA from 1 species
UACGGAGGGUGCGAGCGUUGUCCGGAAUCACUGGGCGUAAAGGGCGCGUAGGCGGCCUGAUAAGUAGGGGGUGAAAUCCUGCGGCUUAACCGCAGGGCUGCCUUCUAAACUGUCAGGCUCGAGCACAGUAGAGGCAGGUGGAAUUCCCGGUGUAGCGGUGGAAUGCGUAGAGAUCGGGAAGAACAUCAGUGGCGAAGGCGGCCUGCUGGGCUGUUGCUGACGCUGAGACGCGAAAGCUAGGGGAGCGAACAGG